rnacentral:rRNA from 1 species
GUCUAGGGCCAUGCCACCGUGAACACACCUGAUCUCAGAAGUUAAGCAGGGUUGGGCCUGUCUAGUGCUUGGAUGGGAGACAGCCUGGGGAUACCAGGUGCUUUGAACU